GGGCCCGCACAAGCGGUGGAGCAUGUGGUUUAAUUCGAUGAUACGCGAGGAACCUUACCAGGGCUUAAAUGUAGGUUGCAUGAUCUAGAGAUAGAUCUUUCUUCGGACUACCUACAAGGUGCUGCAUGGUUGUCGUCAGCUCGUGCCGUGAGGUGUCAGGUUAAGUCCUAUAACGAGCGCAACCCUCGCCGUUAGUUGCCAGCGGAUAAUGCCGGGCACUCUAAUGGGACUGCCGGUGUCAAGCCGGAGGAAGGUGGGGAUGACGUCAAGUCCUCAUGGCCUUUAUGUCUGGGGCUACACACGUGCUACAAUGGUCGCUACAGAGCGCUGCGAACCCGCGAGGGGGAGCCAAUCGCAAAAAGGCGGCCUCAGUUCGGAUCGGAGUCUGCAACCCGACUCCGUGAAGUCGGAAUCGCUAGUAA
rnacentral:rRNA from 1 species